UAAGACGGAGGGUGCUAGCGUUGUUCGGAAUCACUGGGCGUAAAGGGCGCGUAGGCGGCGUCGCAAGUCGGCUUGUGAAAGCCCGGGGCUCAACCCCGGAGGUGCAGCCGAGACUGCGGUGCUCGAGGCCGGAAGAGGAGGGUGGAAUACCCAGUGUAGAGGUGAAAUUCGUAGAUAUUGGGUGGAACACCGGUGGCGAAAGCGGCUCUCUGGUCCGGUUCUGACGCUGAGGCGCGAAAGCGUGGGGAGCAAACAGGAUUAGAUACCCUGGUAGUCCACGCCCUAAACGAUGCGGGCUAGGCGUCGGGGGGCUUGCCCUUCGGUGCCGCAGCUAACGCGUUAAGCCCGCCGCCUGGGGAGUACGGCCGCAAGGUUA
rnacentral:rRNA from 1 species